CGGAUUCAAUUUGUUGAGGGCAAAUAAAAUGGAUGUGUGAAUCAAUACCCCCGGCCGUUAAAAUUAAAUGCUCACCUGAAAUCGCAUCUGUGGCAGGGCCGAUCGCAAGCGACGGUGUCACGCCAGAUUGAAUGCCGGGGUUUCCCGCAUGGCCAAUCCCGCAGAUAUAACCAUCUUUAAUGCCAAUAUCUGCUUUGACUACGCCUAAUUUUGCAUCCACAAUGGUUACAUUGGUGAUGACAAGAUCGGGUGCACCACAUGCACUCGUGAGAUGCAUAUCCAUCCCCAUGCUAG
rnacentral:sRNA from 1 species